rnacentral:rRNA from 1 species
CCUAGGGUGGCUGCAGUGAGGAAUAUUGGUCAAUGGGCGCUAGCCUGAACCAGCCAAGUAGCGUGAAGGAUGACUGCCCUAUGGGUUGUAAACUUCUUUUAUAUGGGAAUAAAGUGCAGUAUGUAUACUGCUUUGCAUGUACCUUAUGACUCAGGAUCGGCAACCUCCGUUCCAGCAGCCGCGGUAAUACGGAGGAUCCGAGCGUUAUCCGGAUUUAUUGGGUUGAAGGGGAACGUAGGCGGGUUGUUAAGUCAGUUGUGAAAGUGUGCGGCUCAAACGUGAAAUUGCAGUUGAUACUGGCAUCCUUGAGUACAGUAGAGGUAGGCGGAAUUCGUGGUGUAGCGGUGAAAUGCUUAGAGAUCACGAAGAACUCCGAUGGCGAAGGCAGCCUGCUGGACUGUAACUGACGCGGAUGCGCGAAAGUGUGGGUAUCAAACAGGAUUAGAUACCCUGGUAGUC